UACGGGGGGGGCAAGCGUUGUUCGGAAUUACUGGGCGUAAAGGGCUCGUAGGCGGCCAACUAAGUCAGACGUGAAAUCCCUCGGCUUAACCGGGGAACUGCGUCUGAUACUGGAUGGCUCGAGUGUGGGAGAGGGAUGCGGAAUUCCAGGUGUAGCGGUGAAAUGCGUAGAGAUGUGGAGGAACACCAGUGGCGAAGGCGGCUUUUUGGUCUGUAACUGACGCUGAGGCGCGAAAGCGUGGGGAGCAAACGGG
rnacentral:rRNA from 1 species